rnacentral:sRNA from 1 species
UUAAGUUCUAGAGAAUUUAGUUCUCUGCUGAUGCCCAGAAUGAGGGCAGCACAGGCAACAGCAGUUCAAUAUUGUCCACAUUGCCCUGCCAAUGUGCCUUGACCUCACCCAGAGGCAAUACCUCCAGAAGUGAGAGAGGAGUCUAGUCUCCUUGUCUUUCCAGACAAGGUCAGCU